GGCGCCGCGCUUCCGGGCGGGCAUGGCGGGCGGCGGCGAGGAGCCCUUCGCGCCCUCGGCGCUGGGCACCAGGCCGCACUGGGAUGCGGCGUAUGAGAGAGAGCUGCAAGCUUUUCAGGAGACGGGAGACGCUGGGGAAAUUUGGUUUGGAGAAGAAAGCAUGGUUCGCAUAAUCAGAUGGUUGGAGAAACAAAAGGUGCCCCUUGACAGCUCUGUGCUUGACAUUGGAACUGGGAAUGGUGUUUUACUGAUUGAAUUGGCAAGAAAUGGCUUCACUAACCUCACUGGGAUUGAUUACUCACCUUCUGCAAUACAACUUUCAGAAAAAGUAAGGGAGAAAGAAGGGAUGUCUAACAUUAAAUUACUGGUAGAAGACUUCCUGGCUCCAUCAGCUGAGCUGUCGGGAUUUCAGAUCUGUAUUGACAAGGGGACUUUUGAUGCCGUGAGCCUUAACCCUGAUAAUGCAGUUGGAAAGAGGAAGCAGUAUGUGAGAUCUCUGUGCAGUGUAUUGAAGCCAGAGGGCUUUUUCCUCAUAACAUCUUGCAACUGGACCAAGGAGGAGCUGCUGAAUGAGUUCAGAGAAGCUCCUGAAUCUCAUGCCUGAAGCUUGAAACUCCAAGAGAGUGGAUCUAAAACAACCGUCCCUUCUGGGGAACUAAAAUUGCUGGAUUUGAAGUUGUGGAGGAGCUGCCAACACCCAAGUUUUGCUUUGGAGGAAGAAUUGGAAACAGUGUAACAGCAUUGGUUUUCCAAAGAAAAAAGUGAGACCAUCCAUCUUGGACAAAUUAGAUUAGCUGAGAAAAGUCUGAACUUUAAAGUAAGCCUGACAGCAAACCUCAGACACGUGUGUAAAUAAAUGUUAUUUGAGUACACAGUUAAA